ACUGACGGUACCAUUAGAAUAAGCACCGGCUAACUCCGUGCCAGCAGCCGCGGUAAUACGGAGGGUGCAAGCGUUAUCCGGAUUCACUGGGUUUAAAGGGAGCGUAGGAGGGCAGGUAAGUCAGUGGUGAAAUCUCCGGGCUUAACUCGGAAACUGCCGUUGAUACUAUCUGUCUUGAAUACCGUGGAGAUGAGCGGAAUAUGUCAUGUAGCGGUGAAAUGCUUAGAGAUGACAUAGAACACCAAUUGCGAAGGCAGCUCGUUACACGAAUAUUGACUCUGAGGCUCGAAAGCGUGGGGAUCAAACAGGAUUAGAUACCCUGGUAGUCCACGCCCUAAACUAUGGAUACUCGACAUACGCGAUACACUGUGUGUGUCUGAGCGAAAGCAUUAAGUAUCCCACCUGGGAAGUACGACCGCAAGGUUGAAACUC
rnacentral:rRNA from 1 species